UUUUGGAGCUUUUUCUCUUCAGGCUUCAAUUUCACAAUAGAUUUCUCCAUUAUGGGUACCUGUGGAUCCUCUUGAAUGGCAUAUUAUUAUUUUUUAUUGCUAUUCUGUAUCUCCUAGCAUCAUUGGGAAAAUUGGCAUUAGGAGCCACUGUUGCAUAUGCUGACAGAGCACUCAGGGGACAUGCUUCUCAUAGGAUCUGUUUGAGAAGUCCUCAACAAUCUGCUUCUCAAAUGACUUUUCAAGCACUCCAUGGAUGGUGAGGAAUGAAACUCGUGCAGGAACAGAAACUUUUAUCCGCGUUGAAGACAACACUAAGUACUUGCAAUCUGGUCCUCCUUUUCUCAUUCUUCUUCAUCCUGCUUUGGGUCUACUUUUGG